rnacentral:tmRNA from 1 species
GGGGGCGAACAGCUUCGACGCGGAUCGUCCGGGAAGAGAUGGCGGGUCGAGCCCCCGUGCCUCGUAAAAACGCGGGAAAUCAUCACAACUGCCAACAAUAACUACGCACUAGCCGCUUAAAGCGGCUACGUCCGCCCUGAACCCGCCUGCGGGGAGGGAGCCGGGCGUCAAACUUCAGCAGGCUACCCUUGCCGGGCAGGCCCUGCGCGGCAGCGGGGAAAACAAGGGGCUGGUCACAACGGUUCGCGCUUUCGGAGGGCCGUUGCGGCGAGAAAAAACCCGGAAGACACACCCGUAGAGAUCUCUUUUGGGACAUCGGCGGACCGGGGGGGCAGUUCCCCCGCGCCUCCACCA